GUAGGUGAACCUGCGGAAGGAUCAUUACCGAGUUAGGGUCCUCUGGGCCCGACCUCCCAACCCUUUGUCUAAAAUACCACUUGUUGCUUCGGCGGGCCCGUCUUCAUUGACCGCCGGGGGACUACUCUGUACCCCCUGGCCCGCGCCCGUCGACAGCCCCAACCACAAAAUUCUGAACAAAACGUGUCCAUAUCUGAGUACACAUUGCAAAUAAAGCAAAAACUUUCAACAACGGAUCUCUUGGUUCUGG
rnacentral:misc_RNA from 1 species